rnacentral:lncRNA from 1 species
CUAAUUAACUUAUUACUUUAACACCAGCUUUCUACUUGGGCAAUAUUUUGGGUAUCAAUGGUUCAUUCUUCCGACAUUUACAGUAGAGGUAUGUUAUUUGUGUAGCUAAUGUUCUUAUCUAAUUAAUGGAGCUUUGAUAUUUUUCAAGCUUGCGCACAAACUUUCAUGUAAUUUAUCCUAGUUUUGAAGAGCAUAUUUUCGUGAAUAUUCCUUUAACUUGCUCAGGCUUGCCCCGUUAAUCACUACCAAUCUUUGUCACCCAAUUCCCUCAUCAGAGUGUACUUGUUGCGUAUAACUUAAAAGGUUUCAUGGAUUAUCUUCACUGCUUUUCGUAUGCUCUUAGAUUUCCUGUUGUACAAAACAUGUUCUUAGUCCUUGAAUGACAUCUGAGGUCUGAUCAGCAGUUUAAAUUUUGACUAAUUUUCUGAUUUUUUGUUGGAUGUGCAGUAAAGAGCUAAUGACUUGUGGUGAUGAAGGUUCGAGAAUUGGAAAUAGUGGUCUGUGGAGUUGAAGAGGGUAGUGGAGGCAGCCAUGGCUACCUGUCAGUGUAGUGAGUUGAUGGUGAUAUUGGUGGUAGGUAGUUCUACGCAGGGAAAUAGCGGUCGACUCUGAAAUUUGAUGGCUGAGUUGAAGAAAGUUAAGGGGGUGGAGACAGGGCUUGGGACAUGCUAAUGCAUGGAGGUGAUGGUAGAAGAGGCGAUGGUUCUAAACAUGGAAACAAUGGCCUCUGCAGUUUGAUGGCAAGGGAUGAUGAAAGAUGAGUAGUGGAGUCGGAGUCGGGCUUUUAGACGGGCGAUAAUGCAUAGAGGUGGA